CGCAGGAACUUUGUUGACUUUAAAGAACCUCCGGCAAAUCGCACAUCCCCGUGUCGGCGACUUUGCAUGCGGAUGUCAUCCAUAUCAACUUUCGAUGCCAGUUUCUGCACCUACCAGGUGACCACGGGUAACGGGGAAUCAGGAUUCUAUUCCAUACAGGGACCCUGAGAAACGGCUCCCACAUGCAAGGAAGGCAGCAGGCGCGCAAAUGACCCACUCCCGACGUUGGAAGGUAGUGACG